rnacentral:hammerhead_ribozyme from 1 species
AUCUAACUGACGAGUCCAAAAUGGGGUGAAACACGCUUCCUAGUU